GCUGUCUUCAGACACACCAGAAGAAGGCAUCGGAUCCCCAUUACAGAUGGUUGUGAGCCACCAUGUGGCAAUUGAACUCAAGCCCUCUGAAAGAGCAGUCAGUGCUCUUAACAGACUGAGCCAUCUCUCCAGCUCUGGCCAGGACCUCUUAAAUCACACGUUCUUUGAUUUUUUUUUUUUUUUAUGUGUGCUUGGAACUUUAAGGUUGCAGGGGAUUGGCUAUAGUGGUGUCAUUUCAUUCUUAAUGGGAACUAAGAUCGUGGGAAACCAAAAUAAGAGAAAAAGAAAUCCCAAUUAGCUGUACCAAAGCAUGGCUCAUCUCUGGCAGAGGAUGUCUGUAGAAACCAUUCUUACAUUAGCUACCAUUUUAAUGGCACAUCCCCAAAACAUCUGAGAUUAAGAGCCCUAAUUCCAUAACACACAGUGCCUUAAAUUGAGGUCAUCGGCUUUGUCAACUUUAAUACAUAUUGAGGUGUUCAGAGCUCGAAUGAUUUGAAUGCUCUUCUGUGGAAUUACCAAAGGAAACUUGUGAGUAGCAUUUAGGAAUGCUAACUUGAGUAGCAAAGGCUGACACUAUUUGGCAUUUUCACUUCUUGAUGACAUAGGGAAAGCGGUUAUCACAUGAGUUCAGAUACUCAAUUGAGGCAACUAGGCUUCUCACUUCCCAUUGUCUGUCCUUCGAAGGUCAUGUCUCAUGCUUAUCAGAUGAUAGCAGGGUAGCUCUGCUCUUCAAACAGCAUAUUCGUGUCAGAGACAAGCAGGGGAGGAAGCAGGAGUCUUUUCAUCAGGAAAACAAAGGCUCCCUUCCCCCGAGAACUCCCUAUGAGGGGUCUGAUUCUACCCUUCAGGCUGGACUUUGGUCUAAGAGAUAUCAUCUAGUCUCCUAGAAAAGAUUCUGCAAAGUAAGAAUACAGACAACCAUAUGUUAUGGCUCGACAAUUCAGGCAGCAAAGGAGUGAAUGUCAAAUUAAUAUCAAGAUAUGCCACAAAAAGAGACCUGGACCAGCUGGGUGUGGUGGCACAUAUCUUUAAUCCCAGCUCUGGGGAGGCAGAGGUAGGUAGACCUCUAUGAGUUCAAAGCCAUCCUGGUCUACAAAUCUGCUAGCAGGUGUUUCCUGAAGAGUUGCUCUUCACCUGUUAAAGGUGGAAGAUAAAAACUGAGCAGAGUGCUUUCUUAAAAAUAAAACCCAGGACACGGCCCUCUCUUGCUUCAUUCAAGAUGAAUCCAUCAAACAUCUAAUAAAAGCCGAACUUCCUCCAGGGCCUUGAAGACAGGCACAACUUGGUUCCCAUCCAGCCCACUGUUUUCUGACACCCUGUCCCUGGCUCUCUCCUUUGAUUUUCUCUUCUUCUUGCUGUGAUCUUUCCUUCCCUGUGACCUUCAGUUACAAGUUUCUGCAGAAACUUCACACCCAAAUGUUCAUGGGUAGCACCUUUGCCAGAUGUAGAUAUCACAUCACAGAUUCCCAUCUCAAAGAAACCUACUUCUAACCCUACUCCACCAUAUACACACUAGCUGUUCAUCCUCUCUCCACCCUGUGCCACCAAAGCAUCUGUCUAGUCUUUGCAGAACUUCAGAUGAUUGAAAUCAGCAGGGUGCUGGCUCUUUUAUCUGUAUCUGUUAUCACUCUGGAAGGCUAUCACUCAAGGGGAUGCUUUCAUUUGUUGUAUUUUCCACUCUUUUCCCAGCACCUGGAUCCCUGCUUCAUAUACUAGAUACUCAGUUAAAUGAGGAAGAAGGGGAGGGAGGGAAAAGAGCAGAUCUAAGAGCCCAGAUGCAAAUGAUCAGACCAGAACCAGCAACACGCCAAACAAAUGCAUGGUCAACAGUUAAGACUACAAACAUGCAGCUUGCCGUCCACAGGCGGGAACACCACAAAGGAGGAAAAGAAAACAAACAAGCAGACAAACAAAAAAUGAUGGUUGCCCACUGCCCUCAAAGGAGGCCUCAGCUCAUCUAGGAAGACAAAUCAAGGAGCAAGGGAAGUUGGAGGAGUUAGAAGAAGUGAGAGGGUGGGGUUGAGCAUGAGAGCUGCCAGCUUCCAGCUUCCUAAUUGAAAAACGGUGCAUUUCCCUAGAGGGAUGCUCAUUGCAAUGUUAUUGGU
rnacentral:lncRNA from 1 species